GGGGAAUUUUGGACAAUGGGCGCAAGCCUGAUCCAGCAAUGCCGCGUGCAGGAAGAAGGCCUUCGGGUUGUAAACUGCUCUUGUACGGAACGAAACGGUCCUGGUUAAUACCUGGGGCUAAUGACGGUACCGUAAGAAUAAGCACCGGCUAACUACGUGCCAGCAGCCGCGGUAAUACGUAGGGUGCGAGCGUUAAUCGGAAUUACUGGGCGUAAAGCGUGCGCAGGCGGUUGUGUAAGACAGGUGUGAAAUCCCCGGGCUUAACCUGGGAACUGCGCUUGUGACUGCACGGCUAGAGUACGGCAGAGGGGGGUGGAAUUCCACGUGUAGCAGUGAAAUGCGUAGAGAUGUGGAGGAACACCGAUGGCGAAGGCAGCCCCCUGGGCCGAUACUGACGCUCAUGCACGAAAGCGUGGGUAGCAAACA
rnacentral:rRNA from 1 species